rnacentral:rRNA from 1 species
GACGAACGCUGGCAGCGUGCCUAAUACAUGCAAGUAGAACGCUGAAGAGAGGAGCUUGCUCUUCUUGGAUGAGUUGCGAACGGGUGAGUAACGCGUAGGUAACCUGCCUUGUAGCGGGGGAUAACUAUUGGAAACGAUAGCUAAUACCGCAUAACAAUGGAUGACACAUGUCAUUUAUUUGAAAGGGGCAAUUGCUCCACUACAAGAUGGACCUGCGUUGUAUUAGCUAGUAGGUGAGGUAACGGCUCACCUAGGCGACGAUACAUAGCCGACCUGAGAGGGUGAUCGGCCACACUGGGACUGAGACACGGCCCAGACUCCUACGGGAGGCAGCAGUAGGGAAUCUUCGGCAAUGGGGGCAACCCUGACCGAGCAACGCCGCGUGAGUGAAGAAGGUUUUCGGAUCGUAAAGCUCUGUUGUAAGUCAAGAACGAGUGUGAGAGUGGAAAGUUCACACUGUGACGGUAGCUGACCAGAAAGGGACGGCUAACUACGUG